UACAGAGGGUGCGAGCGUUUAAUCGGAAUUACUGGGCGUAAAGCGCACGUAGGCGGCUUGGUAUGUCGGGUGUGAAAUCCCCGGGCUCAACCUGGGAACUGCAUCCGAAACUGCCUUGCUAGAGUAUGGGAGAGGGAAGUGGAAUUUCCGGUGUAGCGGUGAAAUGCGUAGAUAUCGGAAGGAACAUCAGUGGCGAAGGCGACUUCCUGGACCAAUACUGACGCUCAGGUGCGAAAGCGUGGGGGAGCAAAACAGGG
rnacentral:rRNA from 1 species